UUGCUUUUGUUUUUAAUUUUCGCGAUUCGAACCGAUAGUUCGAACAGUGCUUUUCUGAGUCUUUCUCUGGCGCCUUAGCUCGCUGGGCCAGUUAGGAUCAUUCGAAGGAAUUUAGUUCUGAGCAAUGAUAUUUUCGAGUCUUUAAUGUGUUUGAAUCCUUGUAGAACAUUCGUUCCGCCACUAUUUACCCCGGCGGUCAAAAAAAGAAAACGGUGGUUCGGCGAUUCUUAAAAGUUAACUGUAAAGCAUAGAGACACAUUCGGCCGAUGCAACCAAUUCCAAUUAUUGAUGACCUACGCACAUGGACGACACUCGCAACGUAGCCAACCUAUCGGACCCGUGAACCCAACAGAGGACGAUCAACCCAGUUGAAGGAAUUGCUGACGCUGCAGAAGUGAUUAUAUAAAACUAGUUGUGCAAGAGAAAAUCGGUUAGUCUGAAGUGUGGAUUUAAGUUGAAUGUAAUUAAUUUUAUUUGGUUAGAAAUAAAUUAUUUUUUUAUCGUAAUUCGAGCGAUUAGCUCUUUACUGGCGCAGUCUUGUAGUGAAAAGUGGUGAAACGAAGGACUAAGUGUUUGAGUGUACAUCAAUACAGAAGAAAUUCGGAGAAGUGAUUCUAAGUCUACUAGUGACUGGCUGUUACCCUGGAAACCAUCCCUGCACGUAUACCAGCGGAUUUGCGGUACCAGAAAGAUUCAUCAUCUUCACACCACCGGACCAACCAACGAACAAUCCCACAUCAUAGGCUCCAGGAUAAGAUGAGGACCAUCAUCCUGUUAAUACUUGUACCGCUGACAGCAGCCACCAUGUAUCACGAUGUCUCAACACAAAAUGGACUACUAAUCAUCAAAACAGACAAAGUUCGCAUCAGGACAGGGUUUGAACGAGUAUUGCAUAAAGUCAAUCUUGAAGAUCUAAAACAGAACAUCAAUUUUAUAGAGCAUAUUUCCACUAACUUAAACAUGUCAGACCACAUAAGCCAAACGUUAAACUUCAAAUUAAAUAAAGCCAACGAGAAAUUACUAGCACUGUAUCCAAGACGCACUAAGAGAGGACUCAUAAACGCACUAGGGACCGCAAUUAAAUUCAUCUCUGGAAAUCCCGAUCAAACAGAUUUAGAUAUGAUAAAUCAAAAUUUGGAAACCCUAGAAGUAAACAGCAAUAAAAUUAUAAAUAACCAAGCUAGACAAAUCCGAAUCAAUAAUUUGUUACAGGAUACAAUCAAUAAAGUUGCAAAAUCUUUAAGAUCAAUCAAACAGGAAGUAAA